UUUAAAAACUUUUAUGAUCAUUUGUUUAUCUUUCUUACAACUUUUAAUUCUUCUUAUAUUCGUAGUCGUGUAUAUAAGAGAGCGUAUAGUGCAGAUUUGCAAAUAUGAAGAGAUAAAUCCGUUGAAGAAAGGUUUGUGUUUAAAAUUUCUCCAAAUAAAUAGCAAGAUUGGUUAACCACAUUAAAGGUUUCAAAUGGUAAUAAAAACCACUAUGUACGAGUUAAGCACUUUUUAAAACAAUAUAUAAAUUAUACCGGUGGCAACAUUAUAUUGGCUACAGAUGCCGCAUGUACCUCCACUCCAGCGGACAAUAAUUUGCCUUUUGCUCCUCCAAUGUCAAUGAUGAAUGUGACUGUUCUUUUAAUUCCAAUUAAUAGGAGCAAAAAUGUAUAGCAAUUGUGCAAUUAGCUAAAGAAAGAUUAGCUGGGAAUGCACUUUUAAAGAACAAUCCAUUAAAUUAUAAAAUGGGAGAUAAAUUGAUAAUUAUUACUCGUCGCCAAGAGGAAUGCGAAAUUUAAUACAUAUAUCCCGACGGCACAAUAGGACAAGAGAUACCAUAACACCCAGAGUAUAAAACAAGUAAUAACAAUCCAAAAAUAUGUAUGAAAAAAAAAGAGAAAUUUUAAAUAUAAAAAAUGUUUACUGUGAAGUUUUUUCAUUGUAUUUAUAACACAAAUAUCACAAGUUUAAGCAAAUUUGAUGAGAGAAUGAAUUCAAGUACGUUAUAUAUCCUUGUCAUCUUUUAAACUUUCAACCAAAUAUGAUAAACAGAUUUACGAGAGCGUCUAUAUAACUAAGGCACUCAUGAGAGAAAGACGCCCUGCUCUUACCUAAAGCAAAACAAAAAAAAUGUAUCGUGAACUAUGAGAACAACGGGACUAUUAUUAUUACCAUCUUAUAGAGUCCUAAUCAGGUAACAUUCCUCUACCAUAUAUGAAAUAGCUGUCUUUGCAGCAGAUGCCGGGACCGGCAUCCUCUUAAGCUAAUACAUCAAUGGUCUUCAGCUAUCAUAUAAUCCAGAUAGGAAUUUGAAACGGACCAUCAAUCUUUUCGAAAGUUAUGCUAAUUUCCUUAAAUUACUUUGAAAGAUCAUCUUGCUAUAAGCAGUGUUGUCUCCAAGUUUGAUCAAUUACACAAACUUAUGUCUAACGUAGUGCUUCGAAUAAAAGUCGCCGCAGCAUCGAGUCGUCACAGCGUUCAAUAUUGCGAUUAGUCGAACGAACGAUAGCCACCAAUAGUUGCUAGAAUGCAAUAUGCAUAGUAAAGAACCCAUAAUUAAAAAUGAUCACUCUAUACGCAUAGUGCUUAACAUCAUCUGUGACCGGCGAUUCUUGCAAAAAUUGAUAGCCUCAUCGUUGACCCAAUCAUGGCCACAUUAAAUAUGCGUAUCACGUUUCUGUAUCACGGCUGUAUCCAUAUGGAAUUUUGAUACUGAAACUAUACUAUAUACUACCUGCAACGAUUAUAGUGACAUUAAUGUGCUUAAGGUUCACUGCAUGAAAUCCGUUACGGCAAACCACUCUUCGGAAGGAUCAUGAUUAGUUUGGAAUGAACCAUUUGAAGAAUUAAAAGUACAACGUUCCUAACUGACAGCACGCUGACAUUGCGUUAUCAUCGUGAACUUUACGAGAUUGACUCUUCCGCCACUUCAUCCAGCGCGUUCUCAAAUUUUCAAAUUUUUUGUUCUAGUGUUGUUGUGUUAAAUUAUUGUGAAGCAUCGAGUUCUUCUCGCAAAGGCCUAACAAACGAACAUAUUAUUACUAUUAUCCGCAAUAUGGGCGUAACAUAAAGUUGAGAAAGUUACAAAAUUUCUUCAAUUUAUUUUUGCUUCGGUUGUAAAGAUGCAGGCUGGUCGGUUCAUCUUCUUUCUCAAUAAAUCUUUUCUCCGAUCGCAGUAAAAAAGCAGAAAGAAUCAAAUAACUUGACUAUCAUAUACGAAAUGAACAAUUUCUUUACAUGACGUCGAAGUCACCCUAACUGCGAUGACAUACAGCCUUGGACGCGUACAGAAUGGAUGCCUUCGUUAAGGAUAUGUUAACAAUCCCUGGUCACAACUCGGCAAUUUUUACGCUGGACGGGGUGACAUAUACAAUUUUACCAAAAAUGAAUUUAACAUCAGCAAAAGUGUCUUCGUCAUCGUCACGGCCAAAACACCAUCGGCGCUAUAUAUAUUUAAAUAUCUUAAAUGAUAAGCAAGCAACAAGUUACCCUUUAAGUAAUUUUCAUAAGCCAAAUGCAAACUGGAGACUAGGGCUGGACAAAUUUCUUCAUCGACGGAUUAAACAGAGCAAUGUAUAAUUAUUAUCAAGAAUACAGUAUUCUGCAGCAUGGAUUUUUCCUCAUUUUAAAAUUGGUCAUCCUAUGACCUAAUAAAAAAAAAAAAAAGAAAAGAACUUAAACUUAAAUACAUUUCUGGUAGAUACGACCCAUUUGCAGCGUCUGCAUGCGCGAAUAAAUUGAAUUGCUUGAAGUUUUAAACGAAGUGGACUGGAUUUGACGAAAUCGUGGGACGACGAUUGCCCUUGUAAAUAUGCGUUUCUCACUCUGGAACUUAAGAUAUUCUUCAGUGCGACAAUUUAUCAAAUUGCUGGACAUCUUCUGUGCGAAGAUUAUUCCUUUCUCAGUUAUCGAACAACUGGUGAUAAGGAAAAAUUGAUGAAUGUGAAAAGUCUUUUCCAAAAAUUUCAAUUUCUAAAUGUUUUACAUUCAACAUGAAACGUAAUUCCAAGUGGAAAAAAUCGACACCUUUCCGGAUUUUAUUUUGCUAAUUAUGCGAUAUAAUAAGAAAAAUUAAAUUUUAACAAAGAAAAUUCUACUUUCCCUGUGAUAUUGAAAAACAGUCACUGGCCCAAUUUAUUGAUUGUUUAGCAGAAUCAACCAAUCGCAGGGGAGAGUCAACUAUUUGUUCGGUUUGUACUGGAGAAUAUCUUCAAAAAGCUUCCUUUCUCGGAGCAAUCGUCAUUGUCGUCUCUAUAUGUCUUUAAUCGAAAACAAUGAUUUACUCAAAAAUUCAAAAAUUAUGCAAACGAUACGAGGUACGCUUUAUAAAUCCUUAUAAAUUAUCCGAUAUCCGCGAUGGACGCGUUAAUUUACCGAUAAAUGUUCGUUUAUUCCAAAUUUAUUUAUAUUUAUAGUCUCGACUUGGCUGCACGUUUAAUGAGCUGACUGCACGCAGGUUAAGGAAACAGUCAGGCAAGAUGACAGUGUUACAGCCAAGCCUUUAGCCGAUUCUGUUCCUUUGUUUCUUCAUCUAUUAGCAGAUUAUUUACCGCAAUAAUAUGAGAGAAGUGCCACUAAAAUUAAAAAAUUCAUAUUUAAUUUAUCCAAAAGUUAAUAGUAGUAGUGUCUCCUUUAUAAAAACUUUUACGGUUUCGUUGAUUGCAUUUUGGAUAGAAAUGUCUGUGUAGGUAGGUCUUUUAUCCCAGCUCGCUGCGCCCAAUUCGCAAUAAAU